AAGUGGACUAGGUCGGGCAGUUAGGCCCUGCCCGUCACCCGCGAGAGAGUCUUCAGCGGGGACCGAACGCCGGCGGCGUCCGGGGCGCCCGUCGCGGGCCCCGGAAGCCGACGUCGAAGCCUCGUCCGCCGGGGACAGCGGUCCGUCGGGCCGCACCCGCAGGGGUGCUCGCCCGCGGCUCGUCGGCGGCACCGGGUCAGGCGCGGAAGCGAGCAGCCCACCGCCGAACGCCCGUCGCUCGUCGGGUCGCGGGGCCGAGGAGGCACCCGGGAUUCCCCGCGGCGGAACCCCCGGGCAACGCCGGCCCGUCCACCA
rnacentral:SRP_RNA from 1 species